AUAGUGUCUCCAUCUUAUCAGUCUCCGUUCGGUGAGAUAUUGGGGCAAACCAUGCAAUGGUCACAAGGUGAAUCCACGAGAGCUUUGUUUCCCGAUAUUUCAGUAAGAGGUUGGGAUAACUCGAUUAGAUGAAGAUUAUGUUGAUGGCCCAACUACAACUGUCCAAGGACGCUACGCCUUACCAACCAAUACACUAUAUCCAACAGUUGUUGUGAACUUAUGGUGUACGACAACUCGGCCAUGAGGACACUCGUCUUGCAAGCAAUCGAAAAACAAGUAGAACAAACACUGAAUUGUUAGAUGAAUAUGGAAGUUUCACUAGAAAAAUAACAAUAUUGUAGGGUUCAAACAGAUGGGCUGUUUAGCCAACACGCACACGGUAAACAAGUAGCAAUUUGCUAACUCUAAGCAUCAAAACCAAUUGUUAUUGACGGUGGCAAGGUAUACGAAAAUGAGGAGAACAACCAUACGGGGUGUUGGAUUUGUCCUCUAACCUGCAAUGUGUCCCUAAUGGAAUCAACUUUACAGCCCCUGCGAUGCGUCCGUAAUAGAACCAACUUGAUGCACAACCCAUUAGGCCCAAAUAAGAUGAUGCAUUACAUUUCACAAAAAAGACGUCGAUAGUAAAAUAUAAUGUUUGUGGCCGCUCCAGAGCAGAUGGACAUGAGGCCGAAUCCAUUUGAAAAUGGCUUGAUAAGCUUUUCAUGCAAUACUUGCACCCAAAUCAAAGUUUGCAUGAAGUCGUGGCAGUCAUCACAAGUUGGCACUGUCCUACCAUUCGAAUAUAGACCGCGCGAAUUCUCUCCCCUUUUAAUCCUCUCAAUCAUUCUAAGUAAAACAAGAGUGCACGCGUCUUCGGUAUAAAAAAUAUGAACAUGAACUCAAGAAUAAACUCACCUGAUAGUUGAAUUGACGUGCACGAGCACGUGUAAUAGGACCAUGAGAUUGUACUUGUGGAGACUUAUGUUAGACGUGUACAUGGAGGAGACGGAUAACAAGUCAAAGUGGUGGAUGUUAUAGCUUUUGGAAUUAAGUGGCCUUUGUGGCCGUAGUGGAGAACCUACUUUAGUUUUCAGAUAUAAACUGAUGUUUUUUCAUUAAUUUUUAUUUUCAUGUGUAAAUUGAGUUUUUUUAAAAAAAUGAUUUAUAAACAGCGCACGAGGCAUGGAUUUUCAUGCUUACAUAAUCAGCGAAUAAAAAACCUCUAUAUUUGAGGAAAACACCUCCC
rnacentral:lncRNA from 1 species